rnacentral:rRNA from 1 species
UACGUAGGGUGCGAGCGUUGUCCGGAAUUAUUGGGCGUAAAGAGCUUGUAGGCGGUUUGUCGCGUCUGCUGUGAAAAUCCGGGGCUCAACCCCGGACUUGCAGUGGGUACGGGCAGACUAGAGUGUGGUAGGGGAGACUGGAAUUCCUGGUGUAGCGGUGAAAUGCGCAGAUAUCAGGAGGAACACCGAUGGCGAAGGCAGGUCUCUGGGCCACUACUGACGCUGAGAAGCGAAAGCAUGGGGAGCGAACGGG